CUUAUUCUAUAAAUUAUGAUAGAAGUGGGACAUCAAAGGUUCAGAGAUCGAUGAAGGCUAUCUAUUUGAUUGAUGAUCUACUGGCUGCUGAAAUCAGUAUCAGUGGCAAACUACAAGUUCUCGACAAGUUGCUACUAGCGAUUAAAGGAUGCGAGUUAAGAGCACUUGUACUGUUUCAGGUAUCAACUAGACAUUUGUUAGAUGAUCUCUACCAUUGGGGCUGCUGUACAUGGGAGGUUUCUAUGUAUUAUUGACUCCAAUUUGUAUUGUUUCAAUGGCAAAUAAAAGGGAGUUAACUGAUAGUCUUGAAGGAUUGGCUUUCUUAUUGUUUGAUCAGUGCUUUAAUAUGUUUAAAAAACGCUCCAAACAUACAUGCAAAGAAGGCCUCUUGUAACGCCCACCCCCCAGGGUGGUUGCUUUUCAACUAGAGUGAACAGGUAAUUAAUG